AAAGCAUUAGUCAUCCAUCUGAGGAGAAAGGGGGGGUUAGAUGCAUACUAUAACUGAAAUGGUUGGCAAGGAUCAAUGCUAUUGGGACUACACAGAAGUAGUGAGAAUAGGAGCAAAGCUGCUGCUUUGAAAGGGGAAGAAAAUGAGCUGGAGGAAUUGGGGUAUCAUUGAGCCUGGGGUGUAUCUCAAAGUUGGUAUUCAUUUCUGAGCAGCUGCUAAUAUGUCAGUGGCUUGGGAUUGGCAUGGUAAAUCUAAAGCUGAAAAGUGAUUAGCUAACCUCACCCAAGUUCUAAGCCCUACUCUGGCCUGAUCCUUUUUCCUGAGCCUCAGAGCUAAAAUGCUCUUGAGCUCUUGCCUGUUGGCUGGGAAGACCAAUUGAAGUUCCCUUGCCCAUGUUAGGAGGUAUACGCCUCCUGAACUAAAGAUAGAAACAGCUGGCCCUUCUAGGCAGCUGAAAACCUCCAGACUAAGAGGUGUUACCCACUCAACAGCCAGGCUCCUUGAAAUACCCUUUCUUUAAUUCUACCAACGCCUCUAUGUCUCUACUCUGCCAUAACAAAGGCUGUGGGCAGCACUUUGACCCCAAUACCAACCUUUCUGAUUCCUGUUGCCAUCACCCUGGUGUCCCAAUCUUUCAUGAUGCGCUUAAGGGUUGGUCCUGCUGCCGGAAGCGAACUGUAGAUUUCUCUGAAUUCUUAAGCAUCAAGGGCUGUACUAUGGGACCACAUUGUGCUGAGAAGCUCCCUGAGGCCCCACAACCUGAGGGCCCUGCCACAAGCAGUUCACUUCAGGAGCAAAAAGCUCUGAAUACGAGUCCAAAGUCAGCAGAGACUUUGCGCCGGGAGAGGCCCAAGUCAGAGUUUCCUCUAAAGCUGCUGCCACUAAAUAUAUCCCAAGCCCUGGAAAUGGCAUUGGAACAGAAGGAACUAGACCAGGAACCUGGGGCAGGACUUGACAGUAGUCUGUUCCGGACUAGUUCCUGCUGCCAGAACCCAGGAUGUGAUGCUGUUUACCAAGGCCCUGAGAGUGAUGUUACUCCAUGUACCUACCACCCAGGAGCACCCCGGUUCCAUGAGGGGAUGAAGUCUUGGAGCUGUUGUGGCAUCCAGACCCUGGAUUUUGGGGCAUUCCUGGCACAGCCAGGAUGCAGAGUUGGUAGACAUGACUGGGGGAAGCAGCUGCCAGCAUCUUGCCGCCAUGAUUGGCACCAGACAGAUUCCUUAGUAGUGGUGACUGUCUAUGGCCGGAUUCCACUGCCUGCAUUCAACUGGGUGAAGGCCAGUCAAACAGAGCUUCAUGUCCACAUUGUCUUUGAUGAUAAUCGUAUUUUCCAAGCACAGAUGAAGCUCUGGGGGAUCUUUGCAGGUCAGUAUACCUCAAGAGCAGCCACUACUCAUCUGUCGUUGGAGGCUUGCAUGUUGCUAUGAUGCUGAAUAGUUUUCAGCAGAACUUCCAAACUAAAACAGACCAGGAAGAAAGGCCUGGCCAUCUAUUUCUGAAAAAUCAGCCAAUGAAAAUCCUAUGAUGACAACGGUCCGAUGCCAUUGUGCAUGGGGUCACCAUGAGUCAGGGUUUGACACCAUGGCAGCUAACAACAACAAAGAUGUUUCAUAUGAGUGGGAACCAGCAGCUUACUCUUGAGGGAGAUUUGGUAUGCAUAGGGGCUUUGGUGGACAUUUCUUUAGAGGCGUAAACUGCAUGUAGAAAAGUACAUAAAACAGACAUCUUAAAUGUACAGCUUGAUUAAUUUAUAUGUAUAUAUAUAUAUAUCCACCCUACCACCUUUGAGGAAACCCUGGUGACGUAAUGGUUAAGUGUUACGGAUGCUAACCAAAAGGUUGGCAGUUUGAAUCCACCGGGCACUCCUUGGAAACUAUGGGGCGGGGGGCUUUUUCCCCUAUUUUCUUAUCAAAAUCGGGGGACCAGCAAUUAUCCAGAAUUUCAGAGAUAAGGAAGCAAAAAAUUUAAGUAACCAUUGUUGUACAUAAACUUGAUAUAUAAAGUUUCAAACUUAUAGCAUUAAUAAAGUAGGGUGCUAGUUUAUUUUAUAUAGCCAAAGCCUAAAAUGUAAGAAAUUUUCAGGCAACUAUGUCACAUUAAUAAUAACAAUAAUAAUCAUACCUAACCAUUUCUAGAACAAACUACAUGCCAGGCAGUACAAUAAGUGCUUUGCAUGCAUUAUCUCAUUUAAUCCUCCAGUACCCACCAUCAAAUUUGCUCACAUUAGCAUAAAUGUUCUCCCUAUUUCCUUUUAUACUUCUCAUUUCUUAUAACUGGGGAAACUGUGUACAUGGAGUCUCUGGGUGGUAAAAAAGGUUAAGCACUUGACAGUUUGAAGUCAUCUAGAGGCACCUCCAAAGACAGGCCUGGCGAUCUGCUUCUGAAAGGUCAUAGCCUUGAAAACCCUAUGGAGCAGUUCUACUCUACACACAUGAGGUCGCCAUUAGUCAGAAUUGACUUGAUGGCAACUAACAACAACAACAUGCUUUGUAUCCUAUCCCCUCACACCUUCCCAGAAACCAUACACUAUUAAUUUAUCCUUUCUCUCUCGUUUAUUUAACCUUUCCCUCUCAAUGGAAUAUUUUCAUUGACAUUAAAACAUUCUUAAGCCUCUCCAAUCUUAUUUUUUAAAAAUUGCCUUGAGUUCACAUCCCCCGUCUUCAGCUUCCACUUAACUCCCUUCUCUCCUUUAUAACCAAACUUCUUGAAGUAAUUGUACUCUCUCUCCAUUUCCUUCCUCCUGCUCAUUUUACAACAUACUUCAAUCUGACUUAGAACCCCAUCAGUCUAUGGUGAUGAGGUCACCAUUGACUACCAGGUUACUAAAUCCAAUGGAUAUUUUCAGUCCUCAUCUUACUUGACCUCAGAAGCAAAGUUUGACACUCCUCAUGGUCAUCUCUUCCUUGGAAUACUUUCAUACAUUUGCUUCUGUGACCUAUCACUCUUCUUGGUUGUCUUUUUAUUUAUCUGGCCAUUCCUUUCAGUCUUCUGCAGGUUCCUCUUUUUCUACCUGGCUAUUUAAUGGUGAAGUUCCUCAGGACUAGUCCAAGGCAUUCUCUCUUUUUCUUAUAUAACUUUUCUAGAUGCUCUCAAUUAUGCCAUGACAUGUAGAUGACUCACACAUUUUUAUCUCUAGGCUAUAUCUUUCCUCUGAGGUCCAGAUCUGUGUAUUAAAGUAAUAAUACCUAACACGUAUUUUGAAACAGUAUCUGGCAUAGAUUAAGUAUUAUGUGUUUGCUGCUGUUAUUAUCAUUACUACUAUUACUCUUUUCACCAAGUUGGGGUGGUUUUAUUUUUGUUUGUUUGUUUUUGAUAGGAGGGACAUAUCUCUAAUAUCCAAUUUUAUAAUGUUUCAGUAAGGAAAUAGGAUCUGCUUGACCGUCAGGUUUUGCUAGUCUGAAAAGUGAUAAUGGAGUCCCUGGGUGGUACAAACGGUUAAUACGCUCAGCUGUGAACCAAAAGGUUGGAGGUUUGAGUUCACUCAGGCACCUUGGAAGAAAGGCCUGGUGAUCUACUUCUAAAAAAAUCAGCCAUUGAAAACCCUAUGAACACAGUUCUGCUCUGACACACAUGGGGUUGCCAUGAGUCGAGAUCGGCUGGACAGCAACUGAGAAAGUGAUAAUAUAUUUACCACCACAUCAUUGUAUCAGCUUCAGGAUUAAGGCAUAUCAUAUGCACUUGCCAAGGGAGUCAAGUAUGUAUAGAGUAUCACUGUGCUGGGCACUUUUACCUGUAAUAUUUUACUUAAUCCUCACAGCUGCUCUGUGAGGUAGGUAUUAUUCCAACUUUUUACAGCUGAGGAAACCAAGGCUCAGAGAAGGAAAUAGUGUGCUUGAAGUAACUCAAAAAAACCGAAAUCAAACCCAUUGUUGUCAAGUCGAUUCCAGCUCAUAGUGACCCUGUAGGACAGAGUAGAACUGCCCUGUAGGUUUUCCAAGGAGUGACUGGUGGAUUCGAGCUGCCGACCUUUUGGUUGCAGCUGAGCUCAUAACCACUGUGCCACCAGGGCUCCAAGGUAACACAGCUACUGAUUAAGGCCCCAGUCAUUGCUAAGAGCUGUCCUAGAUGCAUGAGGACAUCCAAAACCUAUGGAACCAACUGGACAGCACCUAACAACAACAGUCUUUGCGGAAGCAGACUGCCACAUCUUUUUUCUGAGGAGUGGCUGGUGGGUUCGAACCACUGACUUUUCAGUUAACAGCCAAGAGCUUUAACCACUGCGCCAACCGGGGUUCCUGGAGCUUGUGGUUACGUGGGUGCAUAUAUUCUCCAGAACCUAUCGACAUGUGUACUUAAGAGGAAUGAAUUUUGUUGUAUGUAAAUGAUACUACUGUACAGUUGAUUAAAAAAAAAAAUACGCUUCCUGAUUCAAAGAGGAAAGCCAAAAUCAACCAAAUCUUCACAAAACACACAUUGGUUCAUUUUUCGCUUAGCCUAAAGGAGUUUUACAUUUACUCACAGCAGGUUGUGGUGAAGAAUGCUGACAUCAUACCCCUCUUGACUAGCAGAAUACCUUUGACAAGUCUAACUGACUAGUACAGACUUCAGCCUGAUGAUUGCUUCCCUGCCUGUCCUGCUCUACAUACCAGCUGAGUGGAAAUCUGACACUACAUGGCCCCUCAUCCAUCUUAUCUUGCCUGGACCUCUGUUACUAUUUUUUGAGCUUUGACCCCAACCAUCUGUUUCAGUCCUGCUAAAGAGGUCCCAGCUUCUUCCUGAGUCACUCUCCAAGCCAGAUACCUUCCAUUUCCUUGGUCACAUGGACAGUUUCUCCACACCACUGAAAACAGGACAAUGAGUGUAGAAGAAACAUUGUAAAGAUGUUAUUGAUUUUACCAAUAUACAGAACAUACAGAGGUCAAUGGAACAUGUUAAAGUAUACAGCAUAGACGGAAUCAGCAACAUCCAGACUCUGUGAAACUCUACUAAAGAACAACCUGGUUUCUUCAAUAAAAACUUGCAAGGAAAAAAAGAGAUGGAGGGGGAACUUCUACCUUAAAGUAAUUUAUAACUCAUAUCCACCAAUCACAGUGUAUGGACUUUAUUUCAACACUGAUCCAAACAAAAAAAAGUUUUAAAAACACCAAAAAAUUGACACUUAUGAGACUACUGGAAAUUUGAAAACUGACUGGAUAUGAAGGGAUUAUUACUUAUUUUAUGUGUGCUAAUGCUAUAUUUUUUAAUGCUAUUGCAAUUAUGCUCUUAAAAAAGAAUCCUUACCUUUUAGAGAUUCAUACUUAAUUAUUUAAGUAUGGAAUGAUGUUUUGCUCUAAAAUAAUAUGGGAAGAAGUGACUGGGGGCAUAGAUGAAACAAGAUUGUCCAAAAGUUGAUACUAGUGGAAGCUGAAUGUUUGGUAAAGGAAGGUUCAAUAUACUAUCUUGCCUACUUUUUAUACAUGUUUUGAAUUCUCCAUAAAAAGUUUUAAAACAAUGUUAUUGAAUUAUAAAGCAUCUGAUUAAAGUGUGUAUAUUAGUCUGAAUGAGUGGGAACAGGAGGAGCUGGAAUUUGAGAAGAGGAAAAAGUCUGGAAUAGAUAGCCUCUGUGGGGAGAGUGCCAGGGAAUGUAUGAGACAAAUAAAAGGGUUGCUGAGCAGCUGCAAGGGCUAAGCUGAAAUUGGACAGCAUGAACUUGUAUUGGUUUAGCAAUGUUCUGGGAUUUGGGGAGUAGAAAAGGACAGUGGAGGCAGGGGGUCCUGGAGACAGUAACACUGAAGUGGCUGUCCGUGGACUGGGGUGAGAGAGGAAUCUAGUGUAACUAGGAGAUAAUUACUGAUCUGUGUGAAGUGAGAGACAGUAUCUAGGGGUUCCACUGAGGUUAGAGUUCAGGUGAUAAGUGAUGUAAAAGCUGUUUGGGAAAGCCUUAUAUCAAUGUAAGAUAUUGAUCAACCAAGGGCUUCCCUGGCCUCCAUUUAGGCUUGACAGAAGGACUCUGCUAGGCUAGAGAGAUAUGGUGUCAGGCUCCUUUUCUAAGAUCCCUGUUGGGUCCUUAGGUUUUAGAUAUUCUCAAAUGGCCCUAGGACAGCUCUUAGCAAUGACUGAUGUUGUAAUCAGAUGGAUUUCAUCUCUGAAACUCGAGCUUCUGCAAGAGGCAUGGCAAAUAGUAAUAAAGAAAGAAAUUUAUUGAGGCCUUUACUAUGAUCUGGGCACUGAACAAAAUUUUAUAUAUAUAUAUAUUUUGAAUCCACCAGCCGCUCCUUGGAAACCCCAUGGGGCAGUUCUACUCUGUCCUGUAUAAUCACUAUGAGUUGGAAUCUACUCAACAGCCAUAGGUUUGGUUUUUGUUUUCUAUAUGUAUAUAUAUAUGCACAUAUCAUAUAUAUUUUUCUCAUUUAAUUCCUACAACAGUGUAUUAAGAAUUAGAAUUGCCAUUUGUUUAACAGAUAGGAAAACCAAAUCUCAGGGAGGUUACAUAAUUUUUCCCAGUUCACACAGCUUGCAAAUGGCAGAGCUGGGACCCAAGUCUAGAUCUGAGUAUAAUACAGUACUUUCUAGCAAUCAAUCAUCUCCCUCCAUUAAGUGAAUCUUAUUUUGCCUUAUAGACUACACUGAAAGCUUUUAGUAAGGGAUUAAUCCAGCAAGAUAGAAGAGAAGCUUGGAGGCAGUCAAACCAGUUGAAGAUAAUUGCAGUGGUCCAAGGGAGAAAGAUGAGACUCCAAACUAAGUGGGUGUGGUAGUAAGAAUGGAAGGGAGGGCAAUGGAUUCAAGAUAUAGUUCCACAGGAGGAGUAAAAGUAAUGUGGCCGUAUUAAAAGUAAUAUGCCAUGCUGCAUAUGAAUAUAUGCAGCUCACUCCUUCCUCAGCGCUUCUAUACUAUUUGAUCCCCCAGCCUGGAAUAUGCUUCCUCUAGAUCUUUGAAUAGCUGGCUUCUUGUCAUUCAGGCCUCAGCUCAAAUACCACUUCUCAUGAUAGAGAGCCAAUUAAUUAUCUUGAAAACUGGCCAAUAAAACAAAAGAAUCAAGCACUUAUCCUGCCUUUCCUAUAUGAACCGCACAAUUGGGUAACAAAAUAGUAGAUGAAGGUAUUUGUCUUUUUAUAAAAGUAUUCAGACUAAUAAAAAGAAAGAAAUGGAAUACCACCAUUUUGCAGCCCUCAAUAAAUAGAUAAAGGUAGUAAGCACCGACAGCUUCUAAGAUCACAAAGAGAGACAGCAGGCAUUAUGUGCCUCCUUAGUCUUGUCAAAGGGAUAGAACCUGAGUCUGAUUUAGUCUUUGGAUCCAUCUGCCAAUUUGCAGGAAUCCAGAGGACAAAGGGACUACACAAUGAGUAUGAAAUCAGCAAAAUCCAGACUAGGAGAAACUCUACAGUUCAAAUGGCUUGAGUUCUUCCAUAGAUACGUUGUAAGGAAAGGAAAGAUACAUAAGAAACCAAAAACCAAAUCCACAUUCCAACUCAUAGUGACCCUACAGGACAGAGUAGAACUGUCCCAUAGAGUUUCCCAGGAGUGCCUGGUGGAUUUGAACUGCCGACCUUUUGGUUUGCAGCCGUAGCACUUAACCACUACGCCACCAGGAUUUCCAGAUACAUAAGGGGUACCUGUAAAUUAAGAAGCCCCAGUGACGCAGUGGUUAAGAGCUCAGGCCUUGAAAACCCUAUGGGGCAGUUCUACUCUGGCCUAUAGGGUCGCUAUGAGUCGAAAUCAACUUGAUGGCAAUGGUUUUUUUUUUUGGUGGUGGUGCAGUAGUUAAGCACUCGGCUGCUAACUGAAAGUUUGGCACUUCAAACCCACCAGCUGCUCCGUGGGAGAAAGAUGUGGCAGUCUUCUUCCAUAAAGAUUUAAAGCCUUGGAAACCCUAUGGGGCAAUUCUACGCUGUCCUUUAGGAUCUCUAUGAGUCAGAAUUGACUCGGCAGCCGUGGGUAGUGGGUAAGGAUGCAUAUUUAUUUGUUGAUAAAACUAUUUUUUUAAACCCUGCAAGGAAGUGAUUACUAUAAAAGCAUAGGGGUUACUUAUGGGGAGAAGAGAGUUGUGAUUGGCAUACGACACAUGGAAGGCUUCAGUGAUGGGUGGAGAUCUCUUUCUUGACCUGAUUAGUGUUUACUUAAAAUAAUAAACCAUACAUUCGAUUUGUAUAGUUUCCUGUGUAUCUGCUUUAUUUUACAGUAAAGAUCUUUAAAAAUUCAAAAAUAUCACUUCUCAUAGAGUCCUUUCUUGACCAUCUAAAUUAAUACCUACUGUCCAAGUCACAGAAACCCUGGUGGCAUAGCGGUUAAGUGCUACAGCUGCUAACCAAAAUGUCAGCAGUUUGAAUCCACCAGGCACUCCUUGGAAACUAUGGGGUGGUUCUACUCUGUCCUAUAGGGUCUCAAUGAGUUGGAAUCAACUUUAUGGCAGUGGAUUUGGUUUGGUUUUUUGGUCUAAGUCAUUAUUACUGUUUGAUUUUUCCCCAUAGCCCUUAUCAGCUGAGGUUUCCUUACAUGAGAAGCAAUAAUAAUAGUUAAGAGGAAAGACUGUAAUGUCAGGCUGCCUGGGUUCAAAUCUUGGCUGUGCCUCUUACUAGGUGUAUAACCUUGGACUCCUUAAGAUUUCCGUACCUCAGCUUUCUCAAAUAUAAAAUGGGGGUGGUAACAGUGCCCUUGUCAUUGGGUCAUCAGAAGUAUUAAACAAGUUAACAUAUUUGAAGUGCUUAGCACAGUGCCAGGUACUGGUAAGCAUUAUAAAAAUCUUAAGAAUAUGGUUUGCAUAAUGAUUUGUCAUUAAUUGCUGUCAAGUCUGCUUCACGCAUUGCCCGAGGUCCUGCGCCAUCUUCAUGAUGGUUGGUAUGUUUGAGUUCGUUGUUGUGGCUAUUGUGUCAAUCCAUUACAUUAUUUCUCUUUUACUAGAAUGUAAGUCUGUCUUAGUAUACUAUUCCCAGCACCUAAAAGAGUGUCCAGUACCUACGUAAUAUGUACUCAACAAGUAUUUGUUGAAUGAAGGGCCUGAAUUAGGGUGGAAACAGAAUGGAUAGGAGAGGCGUAUAAGAUAUUAAAGAGAGAGAGAGAAAAAAAAACCUUUGAACUUGAUUUUUUUUUUGGUCUGAUACAGGAGGGAAGGUUAUAAGCCUCUCCAAGGCUUCAAGCUUAAGUAACAGUUAGAAGGCUAGUGCUUUUAACAGAAAUAGGAAAACCAAGAACUAGAGCUAAUGUAAUUCUAAUACUAUUCUGGUACUGAAUUUUAUUUUAGAUAUUAUGAGUUUGAAGUGAUGGCAAAACUUACAAGUGAAAUGUUAGCAGGCAGUUAACUGUAAAUGCAGAAUUGGAAUUGGUGAGAAAUGUCAACACUGAAGAUAACAUUUGAGUAUCUACAUCAAUGUGACACUUAAAUGUUCAACAUUCUGGUAUGAGCUUCCUUUAUUUUUAGAAAACAAACCUUUUAACUAUUUUGAAUUAUGAAAAGUAAUGCAUGCUAGUUACAACAAAUACGAAUGCAGAAGUAAAUAAAAUUGUAAAAGAUUUGAACCCUCAGAGAAACCCUGAAACUAUGGCCCCCGCACACCCUUUCAACUCAGUAAUGAGGCCACUCCUGAGGUUCACCCUUCAGCCAAAGAUUGAACAGGCCCAUGGAACAAAACAAGACUAAAGGGGUGCACCAGCCUUGGGGCAAGGACUAGAAAGUAAGAGGGAACAGGAAAGCUGGUAAUAGGGAACCCAGGGAUGAGAAGGGAAAGUGUUGACAUGUUGUGGGGUUGUUAACCAAUGUCACAGAACAAUGUGUGUACUAACUGAUGAGAAGCUAGUUUGUUUGUAAACCUUCAUCUAAAGUACCAUAAAAAAAAAAAAGAUUUGAACCCUCAAAUUUAUUCUUCAGAGGAUUUCUCUGUUAGCAAUUUGACACGUAUCCUUCUAAACAAUUUUCUAUGUAUUUGCAAAUUUAUAUUGGGAUACAACAUGCAGAGGCAUAGAAAAAGUCUGACAGGGUACCUACAUACAUAUGGAGAAGUUUUUAUUUUUUUUUGGCCUAAUUGAAAUCAUUCUGUAAUAUUGUUAUGUAAGUUGCUUAAUGGCUAAAUGUAUCACUUCAUAGUUCUUGAAGAUAUCUCCAUGUCAGUACAUAUAGAUCCCUGACAUGCUUUUUUUUUGUGCCAUAUAGUACUUUUUUGUAUGGACGUGCCAUAGUUUUAACUAUAUCCCUAUUGAAGGAUACUUAGAUUGUUUCUAUUUUUUUAUUUUUACAAUUUAUGCAGCAAUGAAAUUUUUGUACAUGUAGCUUUGGGUAUUCAUGCUAACAUUUCUUGAGGAUAGAUUCCUAGAAGUGGGAUUGCUGGGUAAAAAGGCAUAUACAUGUAACGUUUUAAUAAAUACUGCUAAAUUUCUAUCCACAAAGGCUGUUCCAAUUUACAUGGCCACCCAACAGUGUAUGAGAUACCGUUUUCCCCAAUACCCUCAUCCAUACUUAUAUCAAUUAAAAUUGUAUUUAAAACAACCAGAUAUGCAAAUAAUGGUAUCUCAUUUUUAUUUUGCAUUUCCUUUGAUUACAACAAACGGUAUUUUUUACUAAAUAUUCAUGAAUAGACCUUCGAUUAAACUCUUUUCAGUUCCAUAUGUCACACACAUUCCAGCUCUACCUGAUGUCUUGGAUUAUGGAGCCCCUUCUCGUCUGUCUUCCUCCCAGCUACUGUUUCAGCUACUAUUCCUCAAAUGGCUUUCCUGCCUCUAUAAAACCACUGGAACUUUUUGUCCUUUUGGGUUUAUGUAUAUUUUAUAUAUUCUAUUAGCAUACUUUUAGUGGUGUAUCAGAAGGGAUUUGAAAUGCUGUGUUUAUCAUAUACUUAAUUUCUACACAUAACUGCCUCUUUUUCAUUUCCAUUCAUCUAUUCUUUUUAUUAAUUUUUUAUUGUACUUCAGAUGACUGUUUACAGAGCAAAUUAUUUGCUCAUUAAACAGUUACUACAUAUAUUGUUUUGAGACAUUGGUUGCCAACCCCACGACAUGUCAGCACUCUCCCCUUCUUGACCUUGGGUUCCCUAUUACCAGCUUUCCUGUUCCUUCCUGCCUUCUUGUCCUUGCCCCUGGGUUGGUGUGCCCAUUUAGUCUCAUUUUCUUUUAUGGGCCUGUCUAGUCUUUGGCUGAAGGGUGAACCUCAGGAGUGACUUUAGUACUGAGUUAAAAGGGUGUCCGGGGGCCAUGCUCUCGAGGUUUCUCCAGUCUCUGUCGGACCCAUAAGUCUAGUCUUUUUUUUGUGAGUUAGGAUUUUGCUCUGCAUUUUUCUCUGGCUCUGUGCAAGACCCUCUAUUGUGAUCCCUGUCAGAACAGUCAGUGGUGGUAGCUGGGCGCCAUCUACCUGUGCUGGACUCAGUCUGGUGGAGACUGUGGCAGUUGUGGUCCAUUAGUCCUUUGGACUAAUCUUUCCCUUGUGUCUUUGGUUUUCUUCAUUCUGCCUUGCUCCAGAUGGGGCGAGACCAGUGGAGCAUCUUAAAUGAUUGCUUACAAGCUUUUAAGACCCCAGAUACUACUUGCCAAAGUAGGAUGUAGAACAUUUUCUUUAUAAGCUAGAUGAGCUUAUAAUUGAGCUAGAUAUCCCCGGAGACCAUGGUCUCCAGCCCUCAGCCCAGUAAUUCAAUCCCUCCGGGAGUUUGGAUGUGUCUAUGGUGCUUCCAUGACCUUGCCUUGGUCAGGUUGUGUCAAGUUCCCCAAUAUUGUGUACUGUCUUACCCUUCACCAAAGUUACCACUUACCUAUUGCCUAGGUAGUGUUUUACCCUCCCACCCUUCUGGUCUCUUGUAACCAUCAAAGAUUGUUUCUUUCUGUGUGUAAACCUUUUCAUGAGUUUUUAAAAUAUUUGUUGUUUUAUGAUUGACUUCUUUCGCUUAGCAUAAUGCCCUCCAGAUUCACCCAUGUUGUGAGAUGUUUUGCAGAUUCAUUAUUGUUCUGUAUUGUUGCAUAUAUUUAUCUAUUCUUGAACCAUAAAAAAAAAUCACAGCUUUAAAUAAUUUGCUAUCUGGUAGUCAGGUUAAUACUUUCUUGGCUCUUUUUGUAUAUUCUUCCAGAUAAAUUUCAGAAUUAACUUGUCUAGUUUCCCCAGAUUGCCCCCCAAAAUUCCAAUGGUAUUGUUAUUGGAAAUUAUAGUUAUUUGACAAUGUUUUGAUUACGACACUUCUUAUCCAGGAAUAUUUUACUUCUUUCCACUUAUCAGAUCUUCAUACUUUUAGCUUUCGGUAAAGUUUUGUACAUUUAUUCAUAUAAAUGUUUCGUACAUUUCUUGUUAGGUUUAUUCUCUUGUCAGUUUUUUUUCAUUAUUGUGAGAUCUUUUUCCUGCCAUUUAUAUUUUCUAAAUGGAUAUUGUUUUUAUUUUUAUUGUGCCUUAAGUGCAAAUUUGCAAGUCCAGUCAGUCCCUCAUACAAAAAUUUAUAUACACCUUGCUAUGUACUCCGCCAGGCACUCCUUGGAAACUCUAUGGGGCAGUUCUACUCUGUCCUAUAGGGUCGCUAUGAGUCGGAAUGGACUCGAUGGCACAGGGUUUUUUUUUAUGUACUCCUAGUUGCUCUUCCCCUAAUGAGACAGCACUCUUCUCUCCACCUUGUAUUCCCCAUGUCCAUUCAGCCAGCUUCUGUCCCCCUCUGCCUUCUCAUCUUCCCUCCAGACAGGAGCUGCCCACAUAGUCUCCUAUGUCUACUUGAGCCAAGAAGCUCACUCCUCACCAGUAUCAUUUUCUAUCUUAUACUCCCGUCCAAUGCCUGUCUGAAGAGAGUUGGC